CUGUUUAAUAAAGCAGCAAGAAUGGAUCUCAUAUGGAAAAAGAAAAUAACAGUUAUCGUAAUUACAUAAUUCAAAAAGACUUUUUAUGAUUGCUUGUUCGUAUCCGCUACAUAAUUAAUUUGAAAUCAAAACCACAUGAUCACAGCAGAUCUUAAGCUAAAGUUCCAAGGAAAAUGACAAUGAAAUGGUAAUUUGAAAAGAAAAAUUAAGCAAGACCUUCUUAAGAUAGACUUGAUACUGAAAUGAGAAACUGACUACUAUCAGCAGCUCAAAAGCUAAAAGGGGGAAGUGAUGUCGAUGACUCUGUCUAUAAGCAAGCAACUCUCCAGUGGUUCCUACAAGAAAUGCAGGCCAUGGUAAAUGUAAAUGACCGCGGCCCGAAUGCAGAAGAAGGCCAUGCUCUCAGGGUUUAAAUGCAGAAAAGGCUACCACAGAGUUGUGUCCACCGAAUCCAAAGGAAUUUGAAAUGGCU
rnacentral:lncRNA from 1 species